AGCAUAUCAAUAAGCGGAGGAAAAGAAACUAACAAGGAUUCCCCUAGUAGCGGCGAGCGAAGCGGGAAGAGCUCAAAUUUAUAAUCUGGCACCUUCGGUGUCCGAGUUGUAAUCUCUAGAAAUGUUUUCCGCGUUGGACCGCACACAAGUCUGUUGGAAUACAGCGGCAUAGUGGUGAGACCCCCGUAUAUGGUGCGGACGCCCAGCGCUUUGUGAUACAUUUUCGAAGAGUCGAGUUGUUUGGGAAUGCAGCUCAAAUUGGGUGGUAAAUUCCAUCUAAAGCUAAAUAUUGGCGAGAGACCGAUAGCGAACAAGUACCGUGAGGGAAAGAUGAAAAGCACUUUGGAAAGAGAGUUAACAGUACGUGAAAUUGUUGGAAGGGAAACGCUUGAAGUCAGACUUGCUUGCCGAGCAAUCGGUUUGCAGGCCAGCAUCAGUUUUCCGGGAUGGAUAAUGGUAGAGAGAAGGUAGCAGUUUCGGCUGUGUUAUAGCUCUCUGCUGGAUACAUCUUGGGGGACUGAGGAACGCAGUGUGCCUUUGGCGGGGGUUUCGAC
rnacentral:rRNA from 1 species